ACUCACCUUUGCCGCCGGCGCGGUCCUGCUGGUCGCCAGCUCCCGCAGACUGCCGGCGGUGCUGCCCGCGGCCGCGGAGAGGAAAACCGGGGAACCCGGGGUGCUGCCUGCCGCGCCGCCCCCGCCGCCCGCGAGCGUGGGGGCCGCACUCUGGCCUGGGAUGGGACGCGCGGGCGGGCUGCCGCCGGGGCUGGUGCCCGCGCGGGGCCGCUGACGGAUGCCGUCCAGCAGUCGCACCAGCAAGAUGUUGGCGGGCAGUUCGUCCACGCCGCAGCCCACCAGGAUGCGGCACUCGGGGCAGCGCAGCUCGUGGCGCGAGCACACGAUGCUCUCCAGGCAGCGGCGGCAGAAAGUGUGUUGGCAUGGCAGCACCUUGGCCGUGGUGUCCAGGCGCUCCAGACACACGGAGCACUCCAGCAGGUCCAGCAGCGACGACUCGUCCAUGUCCUCGCCCGCCCCCGCGGCGGUGGCCGCCGCCCGACGCCGCCGUCGCUCGCCUGGCCUGUCCUCGUCGCCCUCGCUCUGCGCAGCAGCGGCGGCCGCCUUGGAUGCGCACAGCCAGGACGCUCCGAGCAGCAUGGGGGAGGCGCCCGCAGCGGUCUCGCGCGGCUGCCUAGGUCCCGGGGCCGGCGUGGAGCCCGCCACCGGCAGCCAGCAUCAGGACUGGGGAGCCGGGCUCCGCCGUGACUUUCUUCACCCCGGCUGGUGGCCCGAUGCUAGGGCUGUGGCGGUGCGAAGUGGCUCACCGACCGGCCUGCGUGGCGGGGACCGGCCUGCGUGGCGGGGACCGGCCAGCCGAGCCCGCCCAGUCCUGAGCGCAGCGCCUGCGGCUGCGGGCUACACCUGUCCCGCCGCAAGUCCGCCCCGCGCGGGGGACCGGGGGUGCUGCCGGGCACGAAGCUCAACGGGUUCUGUGCUGCAAGCGGCGGCUCGCGCCUGGGAGACCAGCGGCAGGAAGUGCGGGCAGCGGCCGGCCAGGUCCCCGGGGAGGCCGGGGCGCGGCGUGCACGCUCCUCCGCGCAGCUGGCGAGCCGCACCGCCCCCGCGGCACCUCCAUGCGCCCCUGGCCUGCUCGCUAGUCGCUGUCCUCCAGAGGAUUCAGCAGGACCGUUCCUCUUCCUCGGCCGCGAGCACGUGCGCGGGGGUGCGCGCGGAGGUCACGGUCACUGCGGGGCUCAGGGAAGGAGGCGCCGUGCCUGCAGGACUUCCCUUCGCUUGGGCGCAAGCCGGCGAUUAGCCUGGUCCCCUAGGACAUCUCCAGGGCUCCGGGGAACCUCUCCUGCGCAGGCUUGGCCCUGCCUCCUCCAAGCGUCCGAGUCUUUUUCGGCUUUUCGUGAGCCUCAGAGAGGGACGUUUCCUGCCAACGCUGCUGCGAAGGAAAGUUUGGGCGGCGUUAUCCCGACUGCCUUCCUCGCCAGCGCCGGCGAGCAGCUUGGGGACACAGCCGACGCCCGGGCAUCCUCCCCGACGACCCCCCGGAGCGCUCCCAGUUCAGACUCCUUUCCGAGAAGCGCGCAGAAGUGACAGCCCCGGAGCUUCGUUCCGGUGUAGGUGUGGGGAUGCGCCGCAAGGCAGGAGGGGAAGGCGCUCCAGUUGAAGGGGGCACCCCGGGGCCCGCGCCGACUCCUCCCGGCGCAGCCUUGGCUCGCCGGAGUCGCGGGUCGGAGGCUGGCGCCGCUGCCCGCCGACCAGCACCCUGGCGCCAGGCGCCCGGCUCCACGCCGCACCCUUGGCGACGCUGUGCGAGGGGCUCUAGCGCCCGCCGCGGCGCAGUCUCGUGAACCCCCGCUCCAAUUUUUUCCUACGGAGGCGCAGAGGAGGGUGAAUUCGCGCUCUCCUUCCCGACGCCCCGGCUUCUGGGAGCGUCAGAGCAACGGAAGUACGUACAGGAGGACCGAGAGCAGCAGGGAAGUUUGGCGGUGGGCUGGGGUCGGCGGCGAAGAUUCCCUGCCGUGCGCUGCCCCCUCGUGGCCGCUUUGCGUUCCCGUCGGGAAGGGCUGGGUUCCAGUCCAGGGCCCAGCACAAACCAGGAUUGGUUGGACGCUGCACAGCGAGUUCAGUCAGGGCUAACAUCAGAAGAGUCGUGGGGGGCCUGCCUAUCGGCCAGCCUGUCCUUGUGGUUUGUGAAGUUGUAUGAUCUUUCUGUUAUUAUUAAGGAAAAAAGUAGUAUUUGUUGAGGCUAAAAGGCCAAGAGCGUGCUAUAUAUUAUUUAAUCCUCUAAACAGCUCUGCCAGAUAAUUAUUUUAUUUAUUUAUAUUUACUUCCAUAGCUUUAGACAGGAUCUCGUUCUGUCAGGCAGGCUAGAGCGCGGGGUGCUAUCACGGCUCACUGCAGCCUCAAACUCUUGGGCUCAAGCCAUCCUUUCACCUCAGCCUCCUGAAUAGUUGAAACUACAGGUGCGCCACCACGCCUGGCUAAAUUUUUAAUUUAAAUUUUUUGUAGCGACAGGGUCUCCUUAUGUUGCCCAGGCUAGUCUCAAACUCCUGGGCUCAAGAGAUCCUCCAACCUCAUCUUCACAAAGUGCUGGGAGUACAGGCGCCAGCCACGGUGCCCAACCUGUGAUAAUUAUUUUAAACUCAUUUUACAAAUGAGGAAAGUGAUAUUCAUACUUGUAAAGCCAUUGGGGCUGAAUUUUCAUUUUUGUAUCCACAGAACUAACACAUAAAGUUUACAUGCCAUUAGAAUGUAAGCUCUCUGUAAGCUACAGAUCUUUUCUACUGUAAUAUCCUUAGUGCCUAGGGCAGUGACUAGCAUAUAGUAGGUGUUCAAUAAAUAUUUGUAGAAUUAAUGAAAAAAAAAAAAAAAAAAAA
rnacentral:lncRNA from 1 species